rnacentral:rRNA from 3 species
UGUGAAAUGUUGGGUUAAGUCCCGCAACGAGCGCAACCCUUAUCCUUUGUUGCCAGCGGUCCGGCCGGGAACUCAAAGGAGACUGCCAGUGAUAAACUGGAGGAAGGUGGGGAUGACGUCAAGUCAUCAUGGCCCUUACGACCAGGGCUACACACGUGCUACAAUGGCGCAUACAAAGAGAAGCGACCUCGCGAGAGCAAGCGGACCUCAUAAAGUGCGUCGUAGUCCGGAUUGGAGUCUGCAACUCGACUCCAUGAAGUCGGAAUCGCUAGUAAUCGUGGAUCAGAAUGCCACGGUGAAUACGUUCCCGGGCCUUGUACACACCGCCCGUCACACCAUGGGAGUGGGUUGCAAAAGAAGUAGGUAGCUUAACCUUCGGGAGGGCGCUUACCACUUUGUGAUUCAUGACUGGGGUGAAGUCGUAACAAGGUAACCGUAGGGGAACCUGC